rnacentral:lncRNA from 1 species
GUUCACACGUGUGCUGUUCAGCUCUGGGUAGCGCACUGACGUUUGCCACAUUCCUCAUUUAUUGGAAUAUUUUAUUUGUGUGUUCAUUCUGAGUUUGCUGUGAAGUUAUGAUUGUUCCACUUCUUCCACUCUAGAAGGUUACAUACAUUUGUAAUUAACCCAUGAAGCCCAAGAAGUCACUCUGAUACACUUAGGUGUGCAAAGCUUAUCUAAGUAGCCCAUAGUGUUUAUAAUGCCUUGGGAAGUGCCUCUUGGUCAUAAAUUGCCGUCAUGAUCAGUUUCUUAAAACAUUUGUUUUUGCGUUUUCCAGAAAUGAAUGUACUCUUCAUUACCAAAAAAGAUGCAGAACAAGUUAAAACUUCUAAAAUGUUAAUUAUGUGUUCCGGCGUUAUGGGGUUAAGGCUGAUCUGUUAAUAUUAUUUUUCUUCAACCGCCGACAUAUAUACAUUGCCAGUUUGAAUAAUGUCUAUGAAGUGCUCUAAUCUGUACAGUGUAAAUGAUAAUAAAUGAGUAAUA